GGUGAGAACCCCGCACGCCGAUAGACUAAGGUUUCCUCAGCCAUGCUAAUCAGCUGAGGGUUAGUCGGGACCUAACGCGAACCCGAAGGGGGUAGUGGAUGGACAACAGAUUAAUAUUUCUGUACUUGUAUAUACUGCGAUGGGGUGACGAAGCUGUGACAAUCCCGCGAUCUGACGGAAUAGAUCGUUGAAGCGUGUAGAUAUUGGCUGUAUAGGUAAAU
rnacentral:rRNA from 1 species